rnacentral:rRNA from 1 species
CCUACGGGAGGCAGCAGUGAGGAAUCUUGGUCAAUGGGCGAGAGUCUGAACCAGCCAAGUAGCGUGAAGGAUGACUGCCCUCUGGGUUGUAAACUUCUUUUAUAUGGGAAUAAAAUGUUCCACGUGUGUGAUUUUGUAUGUACCAUAUGUAUACGGAUCGGCUCACUCCGUGCCAGCAGCCGCGGUACUACGGAGGGUGCGAGCGUUACGCGGACUUACUGGGCGUAAAGCGCUCGUAGGCGGUAUGUCAAGUCAAGGGUGAAAUCCCAGCGCUCAACGUGGGAACUGCAGUUGAAACUGGGAGACUGGAGUGUGUGAGAGGAGAGUGGAAUUCCAGGUGUAGGAGUGAAAUCCGUAGAUAUAUGGAGGAACAUCAGUGGCGAAGGCGACUAUCUGGAACAUAACUGACGCUGAGGAGCGAAAGCGUGGGUAGCAAACAGGAUUAGAUACCCUGGUAGUC